rnacentral:snoRNA from 1 species
UACAUAUAUUAACUCAACAGCAGACUACUAGCAGCUAAGCAAAAGAUCAGUAAGCUCUAAAAUGCGAUGCAUCUCAAUUACAUGUGAGAUCAAUAUAUCUGCAUGUUAGUCUUAGGUUCUGAUAGAAAUGACUUACAACUUUUCUACCACUCUUCACUAUCAGGACGUGACUGGUGUGCAAACAUU